rnacentral:rRNA from 1 species
UACGUAGGGUGCAAGCGUUAAUCGGAAUUACUGGGCGUAAAGCGUGCGCAGGCGGUUUUGUAAGUCUGACGUGAAAGCCCCGGGCUCAACCUGGGAAUUGCGUUGGAGACUGCACGGCUUGAAUCUGGCAGAGGGGGGUAGAAUUCCACGUGUAGCAGUGAAAUGCGUAGAGAUGUGGAGGAACACCGAUGGCGAAGGCAGCCCCCUGGGUCAAGAUUGACGCUCAUGCACGAAAGCGUGGGGAGCAAACAGG